rnacentral:rRNA from 1 species
GGAGGGUGCAAGCAUUAAUCGGAGUUUACUGGGGCGUAAAGGGCGCGUAGGCGGCUUAUUAAGUCAUAUGUGAAAUUCCAAGACUCAAUCUUGGACCUGCAUGUGAAACUGAUAGGCUUGAGGAAAAGUGGAGAAAAUGGAAUUCCCCGUGUAGCGGUGAAAUGCGUAGAUAUGGGGAGGAACAUCGGUGGCGAAGGCGGUUUUCUAACUUUUACCUGACGCUGAGGCGCGAAAGCGAGGGGAUCAAACAGGAUUAGAUACCCUGGUAGUCCUCGCUGUAAACGAUGCAUACUUGAUGUAGAUAGGGCUCAACCCUGUCUGUGUCGAAGCUAACGCGGUAAGUAUGCCGCCUGAGUAGUACGCUCGCAAGGGUG